GAUGAACGCUGGCGGCGUGCCUAAUACAUGCAAGUCGAGCGAAUGGAUUAAGAGCUUGCUCUUAUGAAGUUAGCGGCGGACGGGUGAGUAACACGUGGGUAACCUGCCCAUAAGACUGGGAUAACUCCGGGAAACCGGGGCUAAUACCGGAUAACAUUUUGAACCGCAUGGUUCGAAAUUGAAAGGCGGCUUCGGCUGUCACUUAUGGAUGGACCCGCGUCGCAUUAGCUAGUUGGUGAGGUAACGGCUCACCAAGGCAACGAUGCGUAGCCGACCUGAGAGGGGGAUAGGCCACACUGGGACUGAGACACGGCCCAGACUCCUACGGGAGGCAGCAGUGAGGAAUUUUCCGCAAUGGGCGAAAGCCUGACGGAGCGACGCCGCGUGAGUGAUGAAGGCUUUCGGGUCGUAAAACUCUGUUGUUAGGGAAGAACAAGUGCUAGUUGAAUAAGCUGACACCUUGACGGUACCUAACCAGAAAGCCACGGCUAACUACGUGCCAGCAGCCGCGGUAA
rnacentral:rRNA from 1 species